ensembl:lncRNA
AUGGGGCCUGAUGUGCCGCUGCUCAAUGAUUACAAGCAGGAGUUCUUUUGGAAGCGUUUCCCGCAGACUGUCUUGGGGGGGCCGCGGCUGAAACUCAGCUACUGUGCCCCGGCGUAUGUUUAUCUGCACCAGCUGGUGUUAUUUCUGACACCAUGGCUGUUGGGAGGCAUCGGGACCCUCCUGUACCAGCUGAGGGUGCUGGAUGAAGCCUUUGCAGGUGUUGUUUCCGGUGUGCUGAUGCUGGGUGUUGGUGCCACCCUUCAGGGACUGGCACAGUGUAUGGCACACAGGAGCGGAGUGGUACAAAGGCUGCCUGCUGCCAAUAACAUCCUUGCAGAUGAGGAGGAGGUGGAGUUUACUCACUGUGUGGCUCCUGAGACGGUACAUUUUGUGGUGCCUGGGAAGAAGUUUAUGGGUAAUGUAGUUUUGCACACGUUUCUUGCUGGAGCACUAUGUGGAUUGUCCACAUGGUACCUGCUGCCAGACAGACUCAGCGGCCUGUAUGAUAACACGGGUGCAGGACUGGGAGCUGUCGUGCCUUUGUUUUAUUCGCUCAUAGUCAGCACGGCUACAGAAACAGCCACAUUUCAGCCGCAGGACACAUACGAGAUCACGCCGCUCACCAGACCACUCUACAUACUCUCCUUCAUUACCGUGGACCUGAAAUUGCUUGUGAUGUUCCUCAGUAAGUCGCUUUGGAUAAAAGCCUUCUUCAUUCCCUCCUCAUUGGUUGUGGUUCUGUUCACUGUUGCAAUGGGUUACCUCCUCAGCCAGGACCUGACCCAGCUGCUGGUGCUGGUGAAGGGCACAUCUCCGACCUUGGGUCUGGGCUGGUGGGGACUUCCUCUUUCCCUGAUGUUCAUUAUAGGAGCUUUGACUGAGGCUGGACUCCUUCAUCAGCUUUACCUCAUCAACUCAGGGAAUCUAACAUCUGUAGAGCGCUUGGAGUCUUCUGUUGUACCCCCAAGCCCACAGGAGGUGGUCGGCUGGAUCCUUAUCGCUCUGUUUCUUCUCACUCAUCUGCUGAGAGAGCUCCAGGGGGCAUGCGUGUUAGGAGGUGCCAUGCUCAACCCACUGUACCCCAAACGGGUCACGACUGCCCAGGCUUUCAGGCAGAAGACCCGAGGUCUGCGUGUCGCAGGGAUCAUCCGGAGGAUCCUAUUGAACCUCGGUGAGGAGAUGCUUCACACUUUCACCAAAAUACCCCCUUGGUCUUUGGCCCCUGACUCUUUGGCCUUUGUACGGCAGGUGUGGCAGAGCUCUGAGGCUGCUUUGCUAGAGAUGGUGUUGGUGGUGGUCAUCAGACUUGCAGGGGGGCACAGAGUCGCACGCUGGAAUGAGUUGGGCACUACAGUGCACCUGAUACUGGUCUCUCUAGUUGUGAACCGUGUAUCUCAGUUUGUAAGUAAGCUGAGUUUUGCUCUCACGGUGUUGAUCACAUCCUGGACAGAGAGUAAACAGCGUCGUCAGUCAGCGGGAACUCUGCUAGCACUCAAUGCUGCUCUGUUCCCAGUUUUGCUAGGUGUUGUGGCUCUCUCUUCCCUUCUAUCUGCCCCUCUCCUUACUCUCUUCACACUACCUGUGUUCCUAGUGGGAUUCCCCAGGCCACUGCGCUCGUGGCCAGGCACCCCAGGCACCGCCUGCCCUUGCCCAGAUUCUGUAUAUUACCAGCAGCUCUGCAAAAGACUUGCAUCUGCUAUCAGACCUGCAUUUGCUAAUGGUGCAUUUGGUUCCUGUACUCCAGAGUCUCAUUACCUUGGACGCUUCCAGGGUCGUCUUCUUUGGAUCUCUGUUCUAGAAAGAGGCUACGGCUAUUGCACCGUUAACAUUAAGGGCUUGGAACUACAGGAGACAUCAUGCCACACAGUGGAGGCUCGGCGUGUGGAUGAGGUUUUUGAAGGAGCGUUUGAUCAUGUAGAACGGCCUGGCCAGUGUUUCCGAAUAUUGAACCCUCACUGGGGUAACGUUCUGACACCCUGCUCUUUGUUGCCCGUCAGGGUUUACUCUGAUGCCCAGAACGUUCUAACUGGAAUCAUUGACUCCCCUGACCACCUGCGUCAGCUCAACUCUGACUUCCUUAAAACAUUUGUCUGGAUUUUAUUGCGUUACUGUGUACAGGAAUUGACACGUGGUGCUCAGCGAACAAAAGGUCAUUCACUACAGACCUCUGGACGCAAGUCACAAAGCUCUCAGCUUGCCGUGCCCUCGGAGCAAGGUCCGGCUGUGGUUAAAGUUGCCAUGGACUCUCAUAUUCGCCCUGAGUCCUCCUCAUCCUCUCACUUGAGGGGGCAAGACAGCUCCAGCCUCUCAUCCUUUGCGGAUUGGUCCGACGAGGAUGAUCUAUUCGGUCCAGUCCCCGUACGGCGGCCAAUAAGAAUGAUGGUACGGACAGAUGAAGGACAGACCAAGUUAGGGAUGGGAGUGUCUCUUCCAGGUUCUGUAGAAAUCCACAGCCUGUACGAGAGCAUGGCUCUGUCUUCUCUCCCCACCCUUAGACCUCUGGGUCUGGGUUUGGGGCUCGGCUUGCCCUUUGUAGAUAAAGGGAAAGAUAACAUCCCUUCACUCACUUCGACUACUCUUAGUCUGGAUGAGCUCUACACAACUUUGCAGGAUUACCAUGACAACUGGUUCACUGGCCUGGUAACAGACCGCAGUUGGCAGGACAGUGUUGCACAAGAGAAGCCCUUCCUAUUCUCUCUCGGACUCGAUCACACUAUGGGGACAUAUACGAGCUGUGUGUUGUCCCUGCAGGAGAAUCUAGUCCAGGUGGGAGUUUUGAAUGAGGAGGGUGUGAGGGGCCAGUGGGCCAACCUGUCAUGGGAGCUACUAUAUGCCACUAAUGAUGACGAGGAGCGCUACAGCAUUCAGGCACAUCCUGUGAUGCUGAGGAACCUAACUGUUCAAGCAGCUGAUCCACCUCUGGGAUACCCCAUCUAUUCAUCCCCGCCUAUCCAUUUACGCUGCUUAUGA